rnacentral:rRNA from 1 species
UACGUAGGGUGCAAGCGUUGUCCGGAAUUAUUGGGCGUAAAGAGCUCGUAGGCGGUUUGUCGCGUCUGCUGUGAAAACUCAGGGCUUAACCCUGAGCCUGCAGUGGGUACGGGCAGACUAGAGUGUGGUAGGGGAGAUCGGAAUUCCUGGUGUAGCGGUGGAAUGCGCAGGAUAUCAGGAGGAACACCGGUGGCGAAGGCGGAUCUCUGGGCCAUAACUGACGCUGAGGAGCGAAAGCAUGGGGAGCGAACAGGA